CUCUGGGGACAAGGGGGCGUAUGCUGCAAGGCGCUCUAGUGUAUACGAAUCUUCUAUUGGGGAUAAUGAAGAUCAAUUGCUUUCCGAUGUAGAUGA
rnacentral:ribozyme from 1 species